UGAAGUAUUUGCUGCAUCAAAUGUAAACGAAGAACAAGAUGAUGAAGCCGAGAAACAUCCGGAAGUCCUGCCGGCUGAAAAAGCUUCUGAUCCUGCAAGCUCUCUUCGAGUUGCCAAAACAGAUAGUAAAACUGAAGAAAAGACAGCUGCUAGUGCUCCUGCCAAUGUGGUAUGCAAAAUGUCUUUUAUAAUAAUAAUUUUGUACAUCAUAAGUUAUGUGAAAUAAUUUUUAGAAAUAAGGUCAACCAGAAAUCAUCUAACCCAUUUCUCUGCCUUUAACUGUAGUAUAGUCAGUCUAGCUCAGAACAAAGUCUGCCUAUUUAAUGGAGAUAAUAUUCUGUAAUCUAUGUUAAAUAUGUGUCACAGGUUCUCAAAAUUUAAGUGGUUAUUACAUUCUUCCCACUAUAUAAGGUAGAACUUCUUUAUAGGUGAAAUUCAGUUUCUUUUAUUGUAGUCUUCAAUAUAAUAAAGAAAAAUUGUCAACCCUCUAAGGUUGUUGUUAUUCCCUGUUCUCUUAACUUG
rnacentral:sRNA from 1 species